rnacentral:misc_RNA from 1 species
GGCCCCCCCCAGCCAGUGUUUCCAGGAUUGAUCUCGCCGAGACUCUAGAUGAACUUACUCCUGCUACACCCAUUUCUGCAUUCGCUAAGCCUCGCUUGGCUCCUCAUCUCUACCCAAUGUCACCAUGAAAGUUGAAAGAGAGAUCAGAGAUCAAAUAUCUGAGUUCUUAGAACCUUUAUUAUUUGCUAAAAACAAAAAAAAAAAAAUUUGGUUAUAUGUAAUUAG